rnacentral:rRNA from 1 species
AUUGAACGCUGGCGGCAGGCCUAACACAUGCAAGUCGAGCGAGCGGCGGACGGGUGAGUAAUGCCUGGGAAUUGCCGAGUAGAGGGGGAUAAAAGUGGGAAAAGACUGCUAAUACCGCAUACGAUUGUAUUGCCCAUGUGUGAUUAGCUAGUUGGUGAGGUAAUGUCUCACAAAGGCGAAGAUCCCUAGCGGGUCUGAGAGGAUGAUCAGCCACACUGGAACUGAGACACGUUCCAGACUCCUACGGGAGGCAGCAGUGGGGAAUAUUUCACAAUGGGGGAAACCCUGAUGCAGCCAUGCCGCGUGUGUGAAGAAGGCCUUCUGGUUGUAAAGCACUUUCAGCGAGGAGGCGUUACUCGCAGAAGAAGCACCGGCUAACUCCGUGCCAGCAGCCGCGGUAAUAC